rnacentral:pre_miRNA from 1 species
AACCCGUAGAUCCGAUCUUGUGGUAAAGUGGACCGCACAAGCUCGCUUCUAUGGGUCUG